GCGUUCAUACGAUCCCAGCCGAUUCACUGCACAGAAGACCAGCAGCUUCCUCAACAACAACACAGACACCAUGAAGGUUCUCGUCCUCCUCGCUCUCAUGGCAUUCGCCGCCUACCAGGUGACAGAGGCUCGU